GGUGAACGCUAGCGGCAGGCUUAAUACAUGCAAGUCGAGGGGCAGCGCAGUGUAGCAAUACAUGGGCGGCGACCGGCAAACGGGUGCGGAACACGUACACAACCUUCCUACAAGUGGGGAAUAGCCCAGAGAAAUUUGGAUUAAUACCCCGUAACAUAGCGAUGUGGCAUCACAUUGCUAUUAUAGCUUCGGCGCUUGUUGAUGGGUGUGCGGCUGAUUAGAUAGUUGCCGGGGUAACGGCCCACCAAGUCUACGAUCAGUAGCUGAUGUGAGAUGAUGAUCAUCCACACGGGCACUGAGACACGAGGCCGACGUCAUGGGGAGGCAGCAGUAAGGAAUAUUUGACAAUGGACGCAAGUCUAAUCCAGGCAUGCCGCGUGAAGGAUUAGGGUCCUCUGGAUUGUAAACUUCUUUUAUAAGGGACGAAAAAAGGUCUUUCUAGAUCGUCUGACGGUACCUUGCGAAUAAGCACCGGCUAACUCCGUGCCAGCCGCCGCGGUAAAAC
rnacentral:rRNA from 1 species